rnacentral:rRNA from 1 species
GGGGCCCGCACAAGCGGUGGAGUAUGUGGUUUAAUUCGACGCAACGCGCAGAACCUUACCUAGACUUGACAUCCCGGGGAUUUUCUGGAAACAGAGAAGUGCUUUAGCAAUAAAGAACCCGGUGACAGGUGCUGCAUGGCUGUCGUCAGCUCGUGUCGUGAGAUGUUGGGUUAAGUCCGCUAACGAGCGCAACCCUCGCUGUGUGUUACAAGUGUCACACGGAACUGCCGGUCAUAAACCGGAGGAAGGUGGGAUGACGUCAAGUCAGCAUGGCCUUUAUAUCCUGGGCUACACACACGCUACAAUGGGAAGGGACAAUAGGUUGCGAAGCCGCGAGGCGGAGCCAAUCCAGCAAAACUUCCCUCAGUUCAGAUUGCAGGCUGCAACCCGCCUGCAUGAAGUUGGAGUUGCUAGUAAACGCAGGUCAGCCAUACUGCGUUGAAUACGUUCCCGGGGCUU